GUGGGGAAUAUUCCGCAAUGGAUGAAAGUCUGACGGAGCAACGCCGCGUGAGUGAUGAAGGUUUUCGGACUGUAAAGCUCUGUUGUUUAGGACGAAAGUGCCUGUUGCAAACAGUUACAGGUAUUGACGGUACUAAACGAGGAAGCCACGGCUAACUACGUGCCAGCAGCCGCGGUAAUACGUAGGUGGCAAGCGUUGUCCGGAAUUAUUGGGCGUAAAGAGCAUGUAGGCGGGAAUCUAAGUCUGUUGUGAAAAUGCGGGGCUCAACCCCGUAUUGCGAUGGAAACUGGGUUUCUUGAGUGCAGGAGAGGAAAGGGGAAUUCCCAGUGUAGCGGUGAAAUGCGUAGAUAUUGGGAGGAACACCAGUGGCGAAGGCGCCUUUCUGGACUGUGUCUGACGCUGAGAUGCGAAAGCCAGGGUAGCGAACGGGAUUAGAAACCCCAGUAGUCC
rnacentral:rRNA from 1 species